GACGAACGCUGGCGGCGUGCUUAACACAUGCAAGUCGAACGGAAAGGCCCUGCUUUUGUGGGGUGCUCGAGUGGCGAACGGGUGAGUAACACGUGAGUAACCUGCCCUUGACUUUGGGAUAACUUCAGGAAACUGGGGCUAAUACCGGAUAGGAGCUCCUGCUGCAUGGUGGGGGUUGGAAAGUUUCGGCGGUUGGGGAUGGACUCGCGGCUUAUCAGCUUGUUGGUGGGGUAGUGGCUUACCAAGGCUUUGACGGGUAGCCGGCCUGAGAGGGUGACCGGGCACAAUUGGACUGAGAGAACGGCCAGACUCCCACCGGGGGGAGGAGGUGGGAAUAAUUCACCAUGGGCCGAAGGCUGAAUGAGCCAACCCGCGGGGCGGAAGGAGGGCUUCCGGGUGGUAAACGGCUUUCGCCGGUAACGAGGCGUAGGGAACGGUAUUGGUAAAGAAGCACCGGCUAACUACGUG
rnacentral:rRNA from 1 species